UUUGAAUGUGUUCCUUGGCCCAUCGGACAUGAGCAUAAAGUGCCGUGAACACGAGGGGACGUGGAGAGACAGCAGGUUUGGCAUUAGACGUGGCAGCAUCAGCAGUCUCAGCAAGGGUGCCAGUAUUUCCAGGCACUUCCCAAGCAUCAUGUCAUGAGUCCAACCUGUUCAGGUCUCUCCUGCCUAGAGAGGCUGGUUCUUGAUUAAUAUCAAGUCAAGUGUUUUGUCCUUGUAAGGUUUUACUUAGUAAGCCUGAGGUUAAAGAUGAUUUUUCCUUUUAUCUGUGAAUAUUUUAUAGACGGAGGACCUUUUCCCCCACAGAAACACUCUAGCAGCAAUCAUAAUCAUGAAAGGAAACUUUGGGGAGAGACGGAGAAGAACAAGGUGGAGUGCUGAGUGGGGAGUUCAUCCCCCUCCUCAGUGAUUGUGUUCCAACCCAACUUCGUGUAGAACUCAAUGAAAGAGCCAGUUUUAAAUUCUGCUGGUUACUGACGGAUCUGACACCGAUGCAGCUCUGUCUGGGCAGCACCAGUCCUGGGCACAGUUCACAAACCGGCCGAAAACCUCCAUGACUUUCUGUAUUGGAUAGUGUUGCUCUGUUUUCCAGACCCUGUCUGCUACUGAGGAAUUGGUUCAGAAUAUGCAUCCACCAGCCUUGGACCCCAUUGCCUCAUUGAUUGGGC